ACGGGGGGUGCGAGAGUUGUUCGGAAUUAUUGGGCGUAAAGAGCGUGUAGGCGGCUGAAUAAGCCAGAUGUGAAAUCCCUGGGCUUAACCCAGGACGUGCAUUUGAAACUAUUCGGCUAGAGUAGGUGAGAGGAAAGUGGAAUUCCUGGUAUAGAGGUUAAAUUCGUAGAUAUCAGGAGGAACACCGUUGGCGAAGGCGACUUUCUGGCCCUAUACUGACGCUUAGACGCGAGAUCGUGGGUAGCAAACAG
rnacentral:rRNA from 1 species